rnacentral:tRNA from 1 species
GCGCUGCGGCUGGGCGAGCUGCCGUUCUCGGCGGCGCGGGUCCGGCACGAGGUGACGGAGGUGUCGUGCGAGGGGACGGCGGUGUC